rnacentral:rRNA from 1 species
GCAUAAUAANUNNUUUUUUAUUGGAAAACUGGAAUGAAGGGUUAAGACUAAAAAGAUAGUUUUAUUUAAUAAUUUUGAAUUUAAAUUAAAAGUAAAAAUGCUUUUAUGAAGUUUUGGGACGAGAAGACCCUAGAAGCUUAAAAUUUUAAAAAUUUUUUGUUGGGGUAACAUUUGAAGAAGUAAUAUUUUUGAAAAUUUUAAGAUAAAGUUAAGAAAGUUACUCUAGGGAUAACAGCAUUAUUUAAUUAGCGAGUUCUUAUUAAUAAUUAAGUUUGUGACCUCGAUGUUGAAUUAAUUUUUAUUUUUGGUGAAGGAGCUAAAAAAGUUUAGUCUGUUCGACUAUUAAAAAAUUACAUGAUUU